rnacentral:rRNA from 1 species
CAGUCGCCGCGGGAAUACAGAGUGUGCAAGCGUUAAUCGGAAUUACUGGGCGUAAAGCGCGCGUAGGUGGUUUGUUAAGUUGGAUGUGAAAUCCCCGGGCUCAACCUGGGAACUGCAUCCAAAACUGGCAAGCUAGAGUAUGGUAGAGGGUGGUGGAAUUUCCUGUGUAGCGGUGAAAUGCGUAGAUAUAGGAAGGAACACCAGUGGCGAAGGCGACCACCUGGACUGAUACUGACACUGAGGUGCGAAAGCGUGGGGAGCAAACAGGAUUAGAUACCCCCGUAGUCCCUGUCUCUUAUAC